AGCUCCAAUAGCGUAUAUUAAAGUUGUUGCAGUUAAAAAGCUCGUAGUUGGAUUUUCGAACUAAGCUCGGCUGAGUCUUGCCGGAUGGUAGGACGGUCGUGGUUUAGAUUCUUUACAUACUGGUAGAAUACUUAUCUCUGCUCUUUAUUGAGUGGAGAAGUAGAUGCGUCUACUUUUUUUAAUUAAAAAAAAUAAGAUCUACCUCAUUUACUUUGAAUAAAUUAGAGUGUUUAAAGCAGGCGAUUUAUUUGCCUUGUAUACAUUAGCAUGGGAUAAUAGAACAAGACUCUGGUCUUACUUUUCGAAUUUGGUUUUGAAGACUCGAGUAAUGAUUAAUAGGGACUGUUGGGGGCAUUGGUAUUUCGUUGUCAGAGGUGAAAUUCUUGGAUUUACGAAAGAC
rnacentral:rRNA from 1 species